CAUCGCUUUGCGGUCGCUGGGCUCUCUGCUUCGGGGGACCAUCCGUGCACGGACCUGUUCCUCCUUGCCGGGGAUCGCUACCCAGGGGACGCUCGGAUCGGCGGCGGGGAGGAGCGAAGCAGAUGCUCUACACGGCCUGAGGAACCUCGCCUACCUUGUGGGUGCUCGUCCCAGCUCUCCUGUCGCGGCGGCGGCGGCGGCGGCCGUUUCUGCUUUUGCAGCAUCCCAUGGCCUGCACAGCCGGGUAAAUCUGACGGCGCAGAGCGUCCGUGCCCGGGCCAGUUACUCCUCGCCGGGGAUCGUUGUCCAGGCUUCGACGGGGUCGAUGAUGGUGAAGGGAGCACGGCGUUUCCACACCUUGAGGGGUCUUGUGGCCGAACAUGCCCAUGGCGCUCCUGCUGCUCUAACUGUCGCCUUUCUCUGUAUUUGCCGGAAUUCUGUAUGUGAUUCAUACAGAUGGGUCAGACGGAUCCAGGACAGAGAAGGAGGACAUUGAGGAGGACCCCUCCAUGAGGACGGAUGCGUACCUCCGUUACAUGCAGGCGCUAAAGGACAUGGAACGCGAGACGGCGUCUUACAACAAAGCAUUGCCUGAUGGUAACAAAGCUUUGGAUCAGGAGGGGCAUGAAGGGUGAUGACGAAGCCAUGAGAGCAAGGUUCGAGGACUGGAUGAAGCAGUAUGGCCGAACGUACCAAGACGAGCAGGGUAAGGCGAGGCGGUUUAGAAUAUUUAAGGCUGUUGCAAGGUUUGUUGAUGUCGCCAAUGCUGUGGCUGACGAAUUAGGGUCUGAUGUCUGUAUGGGCCUUAAUGAAUUUGCGGAUUGGAAUGACCAAGGACUUGCUGGCAUGUGUGGCACCAAACAUAUGAGCGAAGAUCAGUACCUCAGCAUGGUCGGCGUCAAUCAGGCAUCUGAUAAGAAGGCCACGAAGCAGACGCUGCAAAAGCAGGAAUCUAAAGAUUGAGAAGGCGCGGCUGGCGAUCAUACACAAGCUGGUGCUUACCUGAAGCUCAUGGAUUGGAGGAGAAGACGAAGAUGGAGAUCAUCCUGAAACUCUCUCGGGGCUAAAUGCCGUCUGAUUAGCUUUCUGAAGAAAUAAACCUGUAUAAUCUUAGAGGUAUGGAAUAUCUUCGUGAUGAGCUCCUUUUGUUUUGUCAUUGUCUGGCUUAGAGGUAUGGAGUAUCUUUGUUUUGUUUUCCUUUAUAUACAACGAUAAUCAGCGAGCAGCUCUGGUAAAGGAAAUGGCAGUACGAGCGUUUAAGAGAAAGAAAGAACAGUUAGUACAUACGACUCAUCAGCGGUAAAUAAAGUUAAACCUCAAAGGGAUCAGCAACUAUACAAUGAUAAAUACAGCAAUAAUUUUACAAACACUACAUAAGGAGGUAACCUCAUAUGCUAGGAUUCAAAUAAAUGAAUUGCUAUCAAGAUUUUCAACUGCCACCUCAAAACAAGAAAAGUAAACUCUCGAGGAGAAGAUGGUACAAGAUCACAAUGCCUCUCCUGAUUAGUCAGUCUGGUGCCGUGUUUUACGCCUGCAAAAAUUGGGUAAGCCAAGGGAUGAUGCACUUGAUUACCAGCAUUGAGCACAAUGGCAUCACCUCCUAUGUGCACGAGAAAUGUAACUUCAUAGCGUGUGAGACCCAGCUGCACUUUGUUCUGUUAUCACAUUUUUA